rnacentral:rRNA from 1 species
AGGGCGCAAGGGGAAUGCCUUGGCACUGAGAGCCGACGAAGGACGCGACAAGCUGCGAUAAGCUACGGGGAGCCGCAAAUGGGCUUUGAUCCGUGGAUUUCCGAAUGGGGAAACCCGAUGGAGCAAUACUCCAUCAACCAUGACUGAAUACAUAGGUCAUGGUGGGGAACCGCCUGAACUGAAACAUCUAAGUAGGGCGAGGAAGAGAAAUCAACCGAGAUUCCGCUAGUAGUGGCGAGCGAACGCGGAAGAGGCCAAACCGGAGGUAGCAAUAUUUCCGGGGUUAGGACUGCAAUAUGUAACUUUAAUCUUUAACUGAAUGCUUUGGGAAGAGCAGCGAUACAGGGUGACAGCCCCGUACACAAAAAUGCACAUGCUGUGAGCUCGAUGAGUAGGGCGGGACACGUGGUAUCCUGUCUGAAUAUGGGGGGACCAUCCUCCAAGGCUAAAUACUCCUGACUGACCGAUAGUGAACCAGUACCGUGAGGGAAAGGCGAAAAGAACCCCGGCGAGGGGAGUGAAAAAGAACCUGAAACCGUGUACGUACAAGCAGUGGGAGCCUCUUUAAUGGGGUGACUGCGUACCUUUUGUAUAAUGGGUCAGCGACUUAUAUUCUGUAGCAAGGUUAACCGAAUAGGGGAGCCGAAGGGAAACCGAGUCUUAACUGGGCGUUAAGUUGCAGGGUAUAGACCCGAAACCCGGUGAUCUAGCCAUGGGCAGGUUGAAGGUUGGGUAACACUAACUGGAGGACCGAACCGACUAAUGUUGAAAAAUUAGCGGAUGACUUGUGGCUGGGGGUGAAAGGCCAAUCAAACCGGGAGAUAGCUGGUUCUCCCCGAAAGCUAUUUAGGUAGCGCCUCGUGAAUUCAUCUCCGGGGGUAGAGCACUGUUUCGGCAAGGGGGUCAUCCCGACUUACCAACCCGAUGCAAACUGCGAAUACCGGAGAAUGUUAUCACGGGAGACACACGGCGGGUGCUAACGUCCGUCGUGAAGAGGGAAACAACCCAGACCGCCAGCUAAGGUCCCAAAGUCAUGGUUAAGUGGGAAACGAUGUGGGAAGGCCCAGACAGCCAGGAUGUUGGCUUAGAAGCAGCCAUCAUUUAAAGAAAGCGUAAUAGCUCACUGGUCGAGUCGGCCUGCGCGGAAGAUGUAACGGGGCUAAACCAUGCACCGAAGCUGCGGCAGCGACACUAUGUGUUGUUGGGUAGGGGAGCGUUCUGUAAGCCGUUGAAGGUGUGCUGUGAGGCAUGCUGGAGGUAUCAGAAGUGCGAAUGCUGACAUAAGUAACGAUAAAGCGGGUGAAAAGCCCGCUCGCCGGAAGACCAAGGGUUCCUGUCCAACGUUAAUCGGGGCAGGGUGAGUCGACCCCUAAGGCGAGGCCGAAAGGCGUAGUCGAUGGGAAACAGGUUAAUAUUCCUGUACUUGGUGUUACUGCGAAGGGGGGACGGAGAAGGCUAUGUUGGCCGGGCGACGGUUGUCCCGGUUUAAGCGUGUAGGCUGAUUUUCCAGGCAAAUCCGGAGAAUCAAGGCUGAGGCGUGAUGACGAGGCACUACGGUGCUGAAGCAACAAAUGCCCUGCUUCCAGGAAAAGCCUCUAAGCAUCAGGUAACAUCAAAUCGUACCCCAAACCGACACAGGUGGUCAGGUAGAGAAUACCAAGGCGCUUGAGAGAACUCGGGUGAAGGAACUAGGCAAAAUGGUGCCGUAACUUCGGGAGAAGGCACGCUGAUAUGUAGGUGAAGCGACUUGCUCGUGGAGCUGAAAUCAGUCGAAGAUACCAGCUGGCUGCAACUGUUUAUUAAAAACACAGCACUGUGCAAACACGAAAGUGGACGUAUACGGUGUGACGCCUGCCCGGUGCCGGAAGGUUAAUUGAUGGGGUCAGCCGCAAGGCGAAGCUCUUGAUCGAAGCCCCGGUAAACGGCGGCCGUAACUAUAACGGUCCUAAGGUAGCGAAAUUCCUUGUCGGGUAAGUUCCGACCUGCACGAAUGGCGUAAUGAUGGCCAGGCUGUCUCCACCCGAGACUCAGUGAAAUUGAACUCGCUGUGAAGAUGCAGUGUACCCGCGGCAAGACGGAAAGACCCCGUGAACCUUUACUAUAGCUUGACACUGAACAUUGAGCCUUGAUGUGUAGGAUAGGUGGGAGGCUUUGAAGUGUGGACGCCAGUCUGCAUGGAGCCGACCUUGAAAUACCACCCUUUAAUGUUUGAUGUUCUAACGUGGACCCGUGAUCCGGGUUGCGGACAGUGUCUGGUGGGUAGUUUGACUGGGGCGGUCUCCUCCUAAAGAGUAACGGAGGAGCACGAAGGUUGGCUAAUCCUGGUCGGACAUCAGGAGGUUAGUGCAAUGGCAUAAGCCAGCUUGACUGCGAGCGUGACGGCGCGAGCAGGUGCGAAAGCAGGUCAUAGUGAUCCGGUGGUUCUGAAUGGAAGGGCCAUCGCUCAACGGAUAAAAGGUACUCCGGGGAUAACAGGCUGAUACCGCCCAAGAGUUCAUAUCGACGGCGGUGUUUGGCACCUCGAUGUCGGCUCAUCACAUCCUGGGGCUGAAGUAGGUCCCAAGGGUAUGGCUGUUCGCCAUUUAAAGUGGUACGCGAGCUGGGUUUAGAACGUCGUGAGACAGUUCGGUCCCUAUCUGCCGUGGGCGCUGGAGAACUGAGGGGGGCUGCUCCUAGUACGAGAGGACCGGAGUGGACGCAUCACUGGUGUUCGGGUUGUCAUGCCAAUGGCACUGCCCGGUAGCUAAAUGCGGAAGAGAUAAGUGCUGAAAGCAUCUAAGCACGAAACUUGCCCCGAGAUGAGUUCU